UAUUCUGGUGUCCUAGGCGUAGAGGAACCACACCAACCCAUCCCGAACUUGGUGGUUAAACUCUACUGCGGUGACGAUACUGUAGGGGAGGCUCUGCGGAAAAAUAGCUCGGCGCCAGGAU
rnacentral:rRNA from 1 species